rnacentral:rRNA from 1 species
UACGAGAGGGGCGAGCGAUGUUCGGAAUUACUGGGCGUAAAGCGCACGUAGUCGGCACUGUAAGUUGGGGGUGAAAUCCCGGAGCUCAACUCCGGAACUGCCUUCAAGACUGCAGAGCUGGAGGAUGCGAGAGGUGAGUGGAAUUCCGAGUGUAGAGGUGAAAUUCGUUGAUAUUCGGAAGAACACCAGUGGCGAAGGCGGCUCACUGGCGCAUUUCUGACGAUGAGGUGCGAAAGCGUGUGGAGCAAACAGG